UAGCAAACAAAUCUUGGCCUAUUUCUGUGGGCUGUAGUUCCAGUAACAAUGUAAUUUUCUCAGGUUGUGUAGUUGCUCUAUGUAUUUGAUGCUUCUAGGUUGUCUCAGGUUGCUGUAUUUAUUUGAUGCUUCUAGGGCUCCAUCUGGUCCCUCCUGAGACUACUUGAGGGGGUGGCUGGAGCUUCUCCAGGCUGGGUCCCUUGGCACCUCCAAAGGAGAAUCUGCUGCAAAGUCACGGAUUGUCUUGCAUCUAAGAAUCAGCUGUUCAGCUUUCUCUGUCCCUGUGCAGGUGCCACAGCAACUGGGAAAGCACUGUAGAGAAAGUCACAGAAGGGGAAGUGGACAUCCAGAAUGUUGUCUGCUUGAGAUCAGAACCAGCUCCCACAUCCAGACACCAAGAUCUGCUCCAUACCCAGCACAAGUCCUACUGCAAAUGUGGCAAGAUUACACAGUAUAUUUCUGGGAUCUGACUUGGAUGCUACCACAGAAUGGUGAAC
rnacentral:lncRNA from 1 species